rnacentral:lncRNA from 1 species
UGCCAUAGCUGGUUUAAUCUGGACCACAUGGUGGGGCAUCCCUCUUCGCAAGAAUUGCUGCAUUUUGAUAAUUAAUAUUCACAGAUAAAGUCGAAACAAGUCUGCUUGAAUAAAAGAAUUUAAUGUAUUAGGCCAGUUUUCAAUUUGUCCAGUCGAGAACUAGUCACUGUAAUUUAACAUAGUUAUAAUCAUGCCUUCCCGUAGAUUCUCAAAUCAAAUGCCAGAGCAAAGCAAAAUAUGUAUACUAGCCCAAGUUAAUCUCACAAAAUCAGACCUCAAAUAAGUAGACUUCGAGUAAUGUAAUCAAGCUC